CCUACGGGUGGCAGCAGUGGGGAAUAUUGGGCAAUGGGCGCAAGCCUGACCCAGCAACGCCGCGUGAAGGAAGAAGGCUUUCGGGUUGUAAACUUCUUUUGUCAGGGACGAAGCUCGUGACGGUACCUGACGACUAAGCCACGGCUAACUACGUGCCAGCAGCCGCGGUACUACGUAGGUGGCAAGCGUUCUCCGGAUUUAUUGGGUGUAAAGGGCGUGUAGGCGGGACUGCAAGUCAGGAGUGAAAGCUAAGGGCUCAACCCAUGGCCUGCAUUUGAAACUGUCUUUCUUGAGUGCUGGAGAGGUAAGCGGAAUUCCGGGUGUAGCGGUGAAAUGCGUAGAUAUACGGAGGAACACCAGUGGCGAAGGCGGAUUGCUGGACAGUAACUGACGCUGAGGCGCGAAAGCGUGGGGAGCAAACAGGAUUAGAUACCCCAGUAGUC
rnacentral:rRNA from 1 species